ACAGUACAAACUGAGCAGGCGAUGACCGUUAUGGUCGUGGGGCCGGGCCGCCAACGCGGCAGCAGAUUGCGUAACGCAUCUGUGGGACAGU
rnacentral:ncRNA from 1 species